UACGGGGGGGGCAAGCGUUGUUCGGAAUUACUGGGCGUAAAGGGCGCGUAGGCGGCCUGCUAAGUCGGACGUGAAAUCCCUCGGCUCAACCGGGGAACUGCGUCCGAUACUGGCGGGCUCGAAUCCGGGAGAGGGAUGUGGAAUUCCAGGUGUAGCGGUGAAAUGCGUAGAUAUCUGGAGGAACACCGGUGGCGAAGGCGGCAUCCUGGACCGGUAUUGACGCUGAUGCGCGAAAGCCAGGGGAGCAAACGGG
rnacentral:rRNA from 1 species